AAUGCAUAUUGAAAAAAAUAUAUGCGGAAAUUUGGUGGGCACAUUGUUAAAUAUUGAAGGAAAGACAAAGGAUACAACGAACGCUCGAUUAGACUUACAAGCUUUGAAGAUAAGAAAGGACCUACACUUGAUAUAGGUCGAUAACAGAUUUGUAAAACCACAUGCAGCAUACACAUUAAAAAAUAGUGAAUGGAUAUCGUUUUGUAAGUAUUUGACAUUAGUGAAAUUCCCUGAUGGAUUUAUAUCUAACACAUCACGAUGUAUCAAUGACAGAUGGAAAAAUAUCGGGGCUGAAAACACACGACUGUCAUAUGUUGCUUCACAGACUACUCCCUAUUGGUAUUCGAGCAUACUUACCGAAGAACGUAUCCACUGCUAUUGUUGAGUUGUGUACAUUCUUUCGCGACUUAUGUGCAAAGACAAUAUGUGUAAGUGAUUUGAACAGACUACAGGCAGACAUCAUAGUCAUACUUUGUAAAUUGGAGAGAAUAUUCCCACUUACCUUUUUUGAUGUAAUGGUACACCUUACAGUUCAUCUACCAUAUGAAACCAAAGUGAUGGGUCCAGUUAGUUACAGUUGAAUGUAUCCUAUUAAAAUAAGUUUACGAAUAUUAAAACAAUUUGUACGGAACAAAACACGUCCUAAGGGGUCUAUAGCGGAAGCAUAUGCAAUGAAUGAAUCAUGGAACUUCUGCUCGCGAUAUCUAAGUGAGAUUGAAACGAGAUUCAAUAGAGAUGAACGAAAUGAUGAUAACAUUUUCGAUCACGAGAUAUUUGGUGAAUUUGAAUUAUUUAGGCAGAGGGUACGACCAUUAGGGGCGUCAACCUUACGAACACUAUCAGUGGAGGAAAAGAAUAUUGCACAUUGGUAUAUUCUCAACAAUUGUAAAGAAAUAACAGACUAUCGCAAGUACGUUUCAAACUUUUUCCUUUUCUAAAUCCUAGGGUAUCUCCUUUGAUAUAACAUUUAAAUGAUCAAUUUUGUAGGCAUUUGAGGUUAAUUCGUCGUGAAGCUCAAAGCGCCUCUGACUUAUAUAUAAAACAUCAAUGCAAAUUUCCCGAUUGGUUCAAAUCUCAGGUAUACAUAGUCAUUUUGUAGGCAACAGUUGAGGGAUGAUUCAUUUUUCGUAUUCAUUUUUAAUGUAAAAGUAAUUAUCAGGUUCUACAACGACGCGAGAGAAAAGAUAUCUCCGAUGAUUUCUUUUCACUUGCAAUGGAACCUUCGUCUGAGGUGCGCUCUUUUAAUGGAUGCAUUGUUAAUGGGGUACGGUUUCACACUAUAGAGCAUGAUAAUCAUCGAGCUACACAAAAUAGUGGAGUCCUAGUGGCCAGGGAGAUCAGUGAGAACACAAGUGUGGAUAAAAUUUCUACGGUGUUGUAGACGAAGUAUUAGAUUUCCAAUAUGCGAAUAGAAGACGCGUUUUCUUGUUGAAGUGUAGAUGGUUUGACACAGAUAACAACAAAAGUAAUAGGACACAUGUGGAUUUAGGAUACAAAUCGAUCAAUACAUCAUACUUUUGGUAUGUCGACGAACCUUUCAUCUUUACUAUCCAAGCACAACAAGUCUUUGACAUUGAUGAUAUCAAACAUGGUAGCAAUUGGAAAGUUGUUCAAGUAGUCCAAAAUAAACGAAUAUGGGAUGUACCAGAAGUAGAUGAUGUUGAAAACGCACAACUAGAUUUACUAGAAAUUAUCGGUGGCGUCCGAGUGGAUGAAACCAUUGAGGAGGUUACUUUAUGCAGAGUUGACGUUGAUCCUACAGUUGUGGAAAGACCAAUUAUUGUACAUGGCGAUCAUGACUUCAUAAACGAUGAUGAUGAAGAAUAAUUAUCUCCCAAUAACAGUUCAAGUGCUGAUGAAUAAUUUGAAUUAGAUUACGAUGAUGAGUAAUGAUAUACGAUAUCAACCCCUAAUAGACAACGGGAGGCUGAUGAAGAAUUCCAGGAGUUAUAUCUAGGCAAUACGGUAUCUUCUGUGGGUGAUACUUUAGAUAGUAGCUCAGCAUCCAAUCGGAAGAAAUGAGAGCAUUCGCGGAACAUCAAGUUGGAAAGAUACGUCCAAAAACAUGGGAGAAUUACAACCAUGAUAAAUAAGGGGGAGACGAAAUCGAUAUCUCAACAUUCGGUACGAUUUAGUAAUGCGAUCGGCAUCGCCGUGAGAUAUACAUUUCCAGUACUUUAUCGUACUUUUGCUGAGGUUUCAAACGAGUUCAUAGAAUUGGCUAAAAGUCAAUUAUUGGCUCAUUUCGAACUUGAUCUGUCCAGUCAACCACUUAACCGUUUUAUAGAACAUCAAAUGCAAAACUCCUUCAAAAAAUUUAGAGCAGAUUUGUACAGACAUUACAGAAAAUGUGGAGAUCCUCAGCAAGUACAUGCUAGUUUGCCUAGUUGGCUUAAAAAUAGGCCAGAAGAUUGGUACUUUUUGUGUGACCGCUUCGAGAGUGAAGUGUUUCAGGAAAUGUUUGUGACGAAUAGGAAGAAUAGAGAGAAAUUACCAUUCAACCACGUAGGUGGAUCGAAGUCAUUCCUGCAAAUUUAGGUAGAGUUGCAAGCAAAGGAGGGUCGAGAAAUAGGAUGUGUUGACCUAUUUAGGGAAACACAUUCUAAAGGUGGCAAGUUUGUAAACGAGGCAACUGAAAGUGCACAUCAUCAAAUGUUGGAAUUACAAUCCAGCCCCACUGUAGAAGGUUCUCAACCACUAACAGGGUAUGAAAUCUGUGAGACGAUUUUGGGUAGACGACCCGGAUAUUCAAAAGGUUUAGGUUGGGGCCCUAAGCCUAAGUCAAGAAGAAGUAGCAUCUCAUCAAGCUCGUCAUCUACUCAAAGAACGAAGGCGAGAAUAGAUGAAUUGAGAGUCAAUUUCCAACAGUCUCAGUUGAGGAUUAAGGAACUUGAAGACGUUCAAAAAAGAAUGCAAGAGGAUCAUGCAAAACAAAUGGGAGAAAUGAAAAAGAUGAUUGAACACAUGGUACGAUCACAUAGAGGAGACCACCAAAUUAGAAUGCUGUUUGGAGAUGAGCUGUGACAAAUAAAUAGCGGAAUCAUGGAUAGGGAACUAAGGCAAGUCGGAAAAAAGACAGUCGAAUCAAAAUGAAGAUGUUGUAUUCGAGAAUUGUUCUAGAUGUUGUUUUGAUUUUACUUCUUUUAUGUAUUUGUGAUAUGAAUGUUUAUCGACUUCGUUUAGAUAUUGUAAUUUCUAGUAUCGACUUCGUUUCGAUAUUGUAAUUUUCUACUUGUUAUAAA